rnacentral:rRNA from 1 species
UGGGGAAUAUUGCACAAUGGGCGCAAGCCUGAUGCAGCCAUGCCGCGUGUGUGAAGAAGGCCUUCGGGUUGUAAAGCACUUUCAGCGGGGAGGAAGGCGGUGAGGUUAAUAACCUCACCGAUUGACGUUACCCGCAGAAGAAGCACCGGCUAACUCCGUGCCAGCAGCCGCGGUAAUACGGAGGGUGCAAGCGUUAAUCGGAAUUACUGGGCGUAAAGCGCACGCAGGCGGUCUGUCAAGUCGGAUGUGAAAUCCCCGGGCUCAACCUGGGAACUGCAUUCGAAACUGGCAGGCUAGAGUCUUGUAGAGGGGGGUAGAAUUCCAGGUGUAGCGGUGAAAUGCAUAGAGAUCUGGAGGAAUACCGGUGGCGAAGGCGGCCCCCUGGACAAAGACUGACGCUCAGGUGCGAAAGCGUGGGGAGCAAACAGG